UUCCAGACUCCUACGGGAGGCAGCAGUGAGGAAUAUUGGUCAAUGGGCGGAAGCCUGAACCAGCCAAGUCGCGUGAGGGAAGAAGGCCCUGCGGGUCGCAGACCUCUUUGGACGGGGAGCAAGGCCGCCGACGUGUCGGCGGAAGGAGAGUACCCGUAGAACAAGCAUCGGCUAACUCCGUGCCAGCAGCCGCGGUAAUACGGAGGAUGCGAGCGUUAUCCGGAUUUACUGGGUGUAAAGGGAGCGUAGACGGCGGCGCAAGUCCGGAGUGAAAGCCCACGGCCCAACCGUGGGACUGCUCUGGAAACUGUGCGGCUUGAGUGCGGGAGGGGCAGGCGGAAUUCCUAGUGUAGCGGUGAAAUGCGUAGAUAUUAGGAGGAACACCGGCGGCGAAGGCGGCCUGCUGGACCGUAACUGACGUUGAGGCUCGAAAGCGUGGGGAGCAAACAGGAUUAGAUACCCCCGUA
rnacentral:rRNA from 1 species